GGGGCUGUAGCUCAGCUGGAAGAGCGGUCGGCUGGCAGCCGACAGGUCAGGGGUUCGAGUCCCCUCAGCUCCA
rnacentral:tRNA from 1 species